GUAAGAGAAGGAAGAUAAAAUUCCUAUUUCCACAGAACGGGUACAGCACAUGCAGGGACAAUGGCAGCUUCCCCACAUUUUCCUGCCAGUGUGCCUAAAGCCUGACCUGGAGGUAUGACCUUUACAAAUGAGAGGGUUGUUCAGUCUUCAUAUCCAUUCAGUUUGUGGCCUUU
rnacentral:sRNA from 1 species